rnacentral:rRNA from 1 species
GAUGAACGCUGGCGGCGUGCUUAACACAUGCAAGUCGAACGAAGCAAUUUAGCGGAAGUUUUCGGAUGGAGUUAAAUUGACUGAGUGGCGGACGGGUGAGUAACGCGUGGGUAACCUGCCUCACACUGGGGGACAACAGUUAGAAAUGACUGCUAAUACCGCAUAAGCGCACAGGACCGCAUGGUCCGGUGUGAAAAACUCCGGUGGUGUGAGAUGGACCCGCGUUUGAUUAGCUAGUUGUGGGGUAACGGCCUACCAAGGCGACGAUCAAUAGCCGACCUGAGAGGGUGACCGGCCACAUUGGGACUGAGACACGGCCCAAACUCCUACGGGAGGCAGCAGUGGGGAAUAUUGCACAAUGGGGGAAACCCUGAUGCAGCGACGCCGCGUGAGUGAAGAAGUAUUUCGGUAUGUAAAGCUCUAUCAGCAGGGAAGAAAAUGACGGUACCUGACUAAGAAGCCCCGGCUAACUACGUG